AAGUUUCAUUUUCACUUUUGUUUCUAAGAAGUCAACUUAGAUUUUCAAAAAAUGUAAGACUAUCUUUUGUUUUUCCUCUCUUUUACUUUGAUGAUUGUUAUGUUAUGAAGCUUUCCUUGUAUAAAGCUCAAUUUCUCCAUGACCACGGAAGUAAACAUCCUGAUGCAUUCUUGUCAUGUGAAUGUUGAGAGCGUGUUCAUUUUUGAAAUCUCCUUUCUGACAGACAUAUUCUACAGGAUCAGCUGAGAUGUAAUCAAUCACUGGAUUAUUUAAUGGAUAGGCUUAUUGGGCAUAUAUUUGGAUAUCUCUGUCAUCAACAUGGAAUGUAUGACUUCAUCUUUUAUACAGUCGGGUUCGGGGUUUCGGGCGGCCAUGACGAAUUUCGGCAAGAUUUUACCCCAGAGAAAAAGGCUUGUAAUCCACAGUUCCUCAACCUGGAAGAUAUGUUUUGUUCCUAACCAUCUAUAAUCCAUUCUCUAUGAAGUGAAGCCUGGCUGCUCUUCCUUUGGAAAUACACAGUUAGUCAAUCAACAUAGAAACACACAAACUUGAAGGAUAUUCUAGUGAGGGCUUAUGGAAAUGAUCUAUGUCUACUCUCAGAAUGGUGAAAGACUAUCAGAUUAUGCAAAGACUAACAGGAUAUCCUCUCUUGGAACACUGAAACAAGAAAAUCAAACAGGAGGUGGAUGGAGGAUUUAAGAAGCAUGGUGAAAGACUAUCAGAUUAUGCAAAGACUAACAGAAUAUCCUCUCUUAAAACACUGAAACAAGAAAAUCAAACAGGAUGGAGGAUUUAAGAAGCACAUAGAUAAAUAUGAUUUCCAACCAAUUUAAGUACGAUCAUAGACUGUGCUUUACAGGAUGACAAAGAAAGGACCCAGGAUAGUAUCUUUUACUGUCAGACA